rnacentral:rRNA from 1 species
AUCAACUUUCGAUGGUAGGAUAGAGGCCUACCAUGGUGGUAACGGGUAACGGGGUGUUAGGGCACGACACCGGAGAGGGAGCCUGAGAAACGGCUACCACAUCCAAGGAUGGCAGCAGGCGCGCAAAUUACCCAAUCCCGACACGGGGAGGUAGUGACAAUAAAUAACAAUACGGGGUUCUUUCGGAUCUCGUAAUUGGAAUGAGUACAAUUUAAAUCUCUUAACGAGGAACAAUUGGAGGGCAAGUCUGGUGCCAGCAGCCGCGGUAAUUCCAGCUCCAAUAGCGUAUAUUAAAGUUGUUGCAGUUAAAAAGCUCGUAGUUGAAUUUCGGGAUCAAUAUGUCUGUCGUGCCUUCGGUACGUACGGGUAUAAUUGGUUUCUACCUUCUGAUGAACCUUGAUGCCAUUAAUUUGGUGUCUUGGGGGCUCAGGACUGUUACCUUGAAAAAAUUAGAGUGUUUAAAGCAGGCAUACGCUUGAAUACAUUAGCAUGGAAUAAUGAAAUAGGACGUUCGAUUCUAUUUUGUUGGUUUCUAGGAUCGACGUAAUGAUUAAUAGGGAUAGUUGGGGGCAUUAGUAUUCAAUUGUCAGAGGUGAAAUUCUUGGAUUUAUUGAAGACUAACUACUGCGAAAGCAUUUGCCAAGGAUGUUUUCAUUAAUCAAGAACGAAAGUUAGGGGAUCGAAGACGAUCAGAUACCGUCGUAGUCUUAACCAUAAACUAUGCCGACUAGGGAUCGGAUGAUGUUAAUUUUUUAAUGACUCAUUCGGCGCCUUACGGGAAACCAAAGUGUUUGGGUUC